rnacentral:rRNA from 1 species
UGGAAAAGGGCGUAUGGGGAAUGCCUAGGCUCUCAGAGGCGAAGAAGGACGUGAUAAGCUGCGAAAAGCUACGGGGAUCGGCACACACGAUAUGAUCCGUAGAUAUCCGAAUGGGGCAACCCGGCAUAUUGAAGAUAUGUCAUGCAGUAAUGCAAGCAAACCCGGGGAACUGAAACAUCUAAGUACCCGGAGGAGGAGAAAACAAAAGUGAUUCCGAUAGUAGCGGCGAGCGAAAUUGGAUUAGUCCAAACCGUACAUGUUUCGGCAUGUGCGGGGUUGUAGGACCACGAUAUUCGAAAUGUAAUGAACUAGAACGCUUUGGAAAUAGCGACCAUAGAGGGUGAUAGUCCCGUAUAGGUAAAGAGCAUUUAGAUAGUGGUAUCCUGAGUAGUGCGGGGCACGUGAAACCCUGUAUGAAUCCGGCGGGACCAUCCGCCAAGACUAAAUACUCCUGAGAGACCGAUAGUGAACCAGUACCGUGAGGGAAAGGUGAAAAGAACCGUGAAUAACGGAGUGAAAUAGAUCCUGAAACCAUACGCUUACAAGCGGUCGGAGCCCAUAUGGGUGACGGCGUGCCUUUUGCAUAAUGAGCCUACGAGUUACUUUUACUAGCAAGGUUAAGGACUUCAGGUCCGGAGCCGUAGCGAAAGCGAGUCUUAAUAGGGCGCCAUAGUUAGUAGUAGUAGACGCGAAACCGUGCGAUCUACCCAUGGGCAGGUUGAAGCUGUGGUAACACAUAGUGGAGGACCGAACCCGUUGACGUUGAAAAGUCUUGGGAUGACCUGUGGGUAGGGGUGAAAGGCCAAUCAAGCUCGGAAAUAGCUCGUACUCCCCGAAAUGCAUUUAGGUGCAGCGUGUAGAUAGUUUUAUAGAGGUAGAGCUACUGAUUGGAUGCGGGGGCUUCACCGCCUACCAAUUCCUGACAAACUCCGAAUGCUAUAAAAUGUUUCUGCGCAGUGAGGGCAUGGGUGCUAAGGUCCAUGUCCGAGAGGGAAAGAACCCAGAUCACCAGCUAAGGUCCCAAAGUAUAUACUAAGUUGAUAUAACGCGGUGGAACUGCAUUGACAGCCAGGAUGUUGGCUUGGAAGCAGCCAUUCAUUUAAAGAGUGCGUAACAGCUCACUGGUCGAGCGGUUCCGCAUGGAUAAUAAUCGGGCAUAAGUAUAUCACCGAAGCUGUGACUUCAUAUUUAUAUGAGGGGUAGGGGAGCAUUGUAAUUGCGUCGAAGGUGUACCUGCGAGGGAUGCUGGAGCGAUUACAAACGAAAAUGUAGGCAUAAGUAACGAUAAUGCGGGCGAGAAACCCGCACGCCGAAAGACCAAGGUUUCCCCAGCUAUGCUAAUCAGCUGGGGGUCAGUCGGGACCUAACGCGAACCCGAAGGGGAUAGUGGAUGGACAACAGAUUAAUAUUUCUGUACCUGCUCACGCUAAAAGUGACGGAGGCGAGAAGUUGGUGCGUACAGACGGAAUUGUACGUUGAAGGGAGUGGUAACACCCCGAUAGUACACCGAGACCACGGUCAAGGUGAUAAUCCAGCAUAUCGACUUCCAAGAAAAGCGAGUGAAGCAGCCCGUACCGUAAACCGACACAGGUGGUUGGGAUGAGUAUUCUAAGGCGCUCGAGAGAUUCAUGGCUAAGGAACUAGGCAAAAUAGACCCGUAACUUCGGGAGAAGGGUCGCCCCCCUUAUGGGGGGGCCGCAGUGAAGAGGUCCAGGCGACUGUUUAUCAAAAACACAGGGCUCUGCAAAAUCGAAAGAUGAAGUAUAGGGCCUGACACCUGCCCGGUGCUGGAAGGUUAAGGGGAACUGUGAGUGUAUGCGUAGCGGUGAACUUAAGCCCCAGUAAACGGCGGUGGUAACUAUAACCAUCCUAAGGUAGCGAAAUUCCUUGUCGGGUAAGUUCCGCCCCGCACGAAAGGCGUAACGAUUUGGGCACUGUCUCAACGAGAGACUCGGUGAAAUCAUAGUACCUGUGAAGAUGCAGGUUACCCGCGACAGGACGGAAAGACCCCGUGGAGCUUUACUGUAGCCUGAUAUUGAAAUUCGGCACAGCUUGUACAGGAUAGGUAGGAGCCUUUGAAAC